UUGUUUCUUGCUUCAGCAGUGUUUGGAUGAAACAA
rfam:Heterocephalus glaber contig240689, whole genome shotgun sequence.